rnacentral:rRNA from 1 species
GAUGAACGCUGGCGGCGUGCCUAAUACAUGCAAGUCGAGCGAACAGACGAGGAGCUUGCUCCUCUGACGUUAGCGGCGGACGGGUGAGUAACACGUGGAUAACCUACCUAUAAGACUGGGAUAACUUCGGGAAACCGGAGCUAAUACCGGAUAAUAUAUUGAACCGCAUGGUUCAAUAGUGAAAGACGGUUUUGCUGUCACUUAUAGAUUGAUCCGCGCCGCAUUAGCUAGUUGGUAAGGUAACGGCUUACCAAGGCAACGAUGCGUAGCCGACCUGAGAGGGUGAUCGGCCACACUGGAACUGAGACACGGUCCAGACUCCUACGGGAGGCAGCAGUAGGGAAUCUUCCGCAAUGGGCGAAAGCCUGAUGGAGCAACGCCGCGUGAGUGAUGAAGGUCUUCGGAUCGUAAAACUCUGUUAUUAGGGAAGAACAAAUGUGUAAGUAACUAUGCACGUCUUGACGGUACCUAAUCAGAAAGCCACGGCUAACUACGUG